UUGCGCAGCUUUCCCUCUCUGCGCAGUGCCUCUUCAGUGCUGAAGAGGUGCUGCGCAGAGAGGGAAAGCUGCGCAG